UACGAAGGGGCUAGCGUUGUUCGGAAUCACUGGGCGUAAAGCGCAUGCAGGCGGAUCGCUAAGUCGGGGGUGAAAUCCCGAGGCUCAACCUCGGAACUGCCUUCGAUACUGGCGAUCUUCGAGUCCGGGAGAGGUGAGUGGAACUCCGAGUGUAGAGGUGAAAUUCGUAGAUAUUCGGAAGAACACCAGUGGCGAAGGCGGCUCACUGGCCCGGUACUGACGCUGAGAUGCGAAAGCGUGGGGAGCAAACAGG
rnacentral:rRNA from 1 species